AGUACCCUCGCAGAGUGCACCGCGCCGGUCUUUCGGUCCCCGGCUCGGAGGCUGAUCCUCCGCAGCCAGGUCCCCAGCGCUUUCAGUCGUGCGGCAGCUUCGGACCCGAGCGCAGGAGGAAAACUACAAGAAAGAAACUCGUGAGCUGAAUGCCAGGAAGUCGAAGGGGGUAAUGCUCCAAGGUGAAGUAGUCUUACCCUGCAGGGACACUUCUCGCCAGUGUCUUAGGAUUAUCGGCGUUGUAGCAGACGGUGUCACCCACUUGAUUGAUGAGAUAGGUGCUGAAGCCCCAUUUUACAGGAAAGGGCCAUAUGAGAGAAUCCCAGAAUAACCUUAUAAUAAUUAAUUGCGCUGAAGAUAGCCUUCCCAAAAUACGUUUUUGAUUUUUUUUUUUUUUGUUCUGGUGGGGAAGGUUCAAG